rnacentral:rRNA from 1 species
ACCUUCGGGUGAAGACCGAGUGGCGAACGGGUGAGUAACACGUGGGGAACCUGCCCUUCUCUCUGGGAUAACUCCGGGAAACCGGAGCUAAUACCGGAUACUCCUUGCGGACCGCAUGGUCUGCUCGGGAAAGCUCCGGCGGAGAAGGAUGGCCCCGCGGCCCAUUAGCUUGUUGGUGGGGUAACGGCCCACCAAGGCGACGAUGGGUAGCCGAGCUGAGAGGCUGAUCGGCCACACUGGGACUGAGACACGGCCCAGACUCCUACGGGAGGCAGCAGUGGGGAAUCUUGCGCAAUGGGCGAAAGCCUGACGCAGCAACGCCGCGUGCGGGAUGAAGGCUCUCGGGUCGUAAACCGCUUUCAGCAGGGAUGAAAAUGACAGUACCUGCAGAAGAAGCCCCGGCUAAAUACGUGCCAGCAGCCGCGGUAAUACGUAUGGGGCAAGCGUUAUCCGGAUUCAUUGGGCGUAAAGCGCGCGUAGGCGGCUUGUUAAGUCAGGCGUGAAAUCCGGGGGCUCAACCCGCGGCUUGCGUCUGAAACUGGCAGGCUUGAGUCUGGUAGAGGAAAGUGGAAUUCCUGGUGUAGCGGUGAAAUGCGCAGAUAUCAGGAGGAACACCAGUGGCGAAGGCGGCUUUCUGGGCCACGACUGACGCUGAGGCGCGAAAGCUAGGGGAGCGAACAGGAUUAGAUACCCUGGUAGUCCUAGCCGUAAACGAUGGGCACUAGGUGUGGGGGGUCAUCGACUCCCUCCGUGCCGAAGCUAACGCAUUAAGUGCCCCGCCUGGGGAGUAC